UACGGAGGGUGCGAGCGUUGUCCGGAAUCACUGGGCGUAAAGGGCGCGUAGGCGGCCUGAUAAGUAGGGGGUGAAAUCUUGCGGCUUAACCGGAAGGCUGCCUUCUAAACUGUCAGGCUAGAGCACAGUAGAGGCAGGUGGAAUUCCCGGUGUAGCGGUGGAAUGCGUAGAGAUCGGGAAGAACAUCAGUGGCGAAGGCGGCCUGCUGGGCUGUUGCUGACGCUGAGGCGCGACAGCGUGGGGAGCAAACAGG
rnacentral:rRNA from 1 species